UACGUAGGGGGCAAGCGUUGUCCGGAUUUAUUGGGCGUAAAGAGCGUGUAGGCGGCCAGACAGGUCAGCUGUGAAAACUCGAGGCUCAACCUCGAGACGUCGGUUGAAACCGUCUGGCUAGAGUCCGGAAGAGGAGAGUGGAAUUCCCGGUGUAGCGGUGAAAUGCGCAGAUAUCGGAAAGAACACCCGUGGCGAAGGCGGCUCUCUGGGACGGUACUGACGCUGAGACGCGAAGGCGUGGGGAGCGAACAGG
rnacentral:rRNA from 1 species